rnacentral:tRNA from 1 species
UGAUAAAGAAAGGAAUUAAACCAAUGUGUGCAGGACUACAGCCUG